UUUGAUUCAACUGCUUCAGUGUUUCAUGAAGCCUCGAUCUGCCCAUCACUAGCUGUAUGUCCUACGCCUUCCCUAUUCUAUUUACGCAAAAAAAAAAAAAAUGAACUGGCGCCGCGUUCAUUCUGCAAGUGUUACAGUUUCAGUUGCAGCAGAGAAGAUUCAGAAUCGGACAUCAGUAAAUCAAGGUUUAUUUAACGAAGGAACAGAACAACUAAACAAUAAAGCCAACAUAAGAACAGACAAGGAGUGCAGGGAAGUGAGUCCAUAAUAAAGGGAAUGCUAAUGAUGAAGUCCAGGUGCAAGUAAUCCAUGAAGAGCGGAAGAGAUGAUGAGGAAGUGAGUGCAGGUGUGGAACAGGGAGGAUUGUGGGGAAUAAGGAAAAUAAUCCUGGAAUGUUUUCAUCAAAAACCUUGAUUUCUUUUUGACUGAAGAAAGAAGGACAUGGACAUCUUGGAUAACAUGAGGUGAAAAUUGUCAAAAAAAACAAACAAAAAACAGAGCAUUUGGAAUAUAUCAGCACUAUCACAAAUGUGAGGAAAAUUGGAAAAUAGUUGCCAUGCUCCCUGUCAAAGCCAGUCCAGUUCUUGUCAUGUAUCUAGCCAAAGUCAGCACUGAGAUUGGCUGCGUCAGGUUCACCAGAUGUUGACUACCAGCUCCCUGUCUCAGUCCAUCCAUGAAAACUCAAUAACUUCUAUGUACAACAUUUUUGUAGUCUUUUGAUACAAUGCAUUUAUUUUGUACAUACAUGUUUUUUAUAUUUUAUUACUUAUUUAUAUGUAUGAAUCUACAUAUAUAUGUGUGUAUAAAUAAUAAAACAAACAAAAAAAUAACA